rnacentral:lncRNA from 1 species
CGCUAAACCUCUCACUUUUUUCAAUAGUCUCCAAGGAUGCCUUGGGUGGCUGUUUCCCCAAUUCAGGGACUUGGGGAUCACGGCGGUAUUUAUUCCCCACCUUUGCAAUUGUUGUUGUUAUUCAGUUUUGUUUUACAACAUAAUUGUCCAUCACUGUCUGUUGUAUAAUGCUUUAAGAUAUUCUGAAUCAAUGACAUUUUCAGUGGCAGAUCCAGAAAAAGUGAGGCAAAUUGACAGCCUAAGAGGGGGCCUGCUCCGGUGAUGCUUCAGUGCAUGAUUCUUUAAAUAAUCAACCAUAUUUUCCCAGAAAAAGGGGGGGGGGUCUAGGCCCCCUACCCCCUCUAAAUCCAUCUCUGCUUUUUCACAAAUCUUAAAUUAGAUAUUCUGCAAAUGAACUCGCAUGAAUUCUUGGUAUCAAUUUUCAUGUCUUUUUUGGUCAUGAAGAAAAAUUAUAGCUGACAAAAAAG